GAUAACCUUGCCAAGAUCAGCUGUGUGCAGGUACAGACGUUCUGUAAAUCGGGCUCGUACGGAGGCACCGGGAAGACCCUAUUCCAAAUCCUAGCCGGAGUAAUCCUGGAUUGAUUACGGAAGAAUUUCAUCGAUCGGAUGCUCCCAGAUUCACAGUGCAUAUUCAGACCACUUUGCGGCUCAGAGGGUGUGAUCUUUCCAGCAUGCCUCAUACAGGAAAAGUGUGGAGAACAGAACUGAGAUAUCUAGGUGGCUUUGCUAAACCUCACAAAAGCACUGUGUUCUAUUAGUAGAUCUGGAUUCCGGAAAUUACUUGGCAAAUUUGGCUGUACUGAAAAAUUCAUAUAGAGUUCUUUACCCUAUACUACAAAA